CGCCUACCAAGUACGAAAAAAUUGGCAAGUACAGUCAAAUGAACCUAUAUAGAUCUAACACGUUUAUUAAAAUAGAAAUAUCAUCAAUAAUUUAACCAAAUAAAUACACAAUUCAUCAAGACCAAUUGAUAUAUAUUCAUAGCUAAAACUUUACUCUACCACCAAAAUCUCUCCAUACCAAUAUUUUCCAAAGUUAAAAGCAGGACAAACUCGGGAUCAGAGCACUAUGACAAGUCUAGUACGAAACACCCCGUUACAUUUUAGCAGACGGGUGGAUGGAUACGAGCCGUUGGAUCAACCAGAAUGUACGGAAGCUUCGAUGCAGAAUGAUGAAGACCGUAGUCAUAGUGUUCGGAGAACAAUUAUGAAAUUAAAGAGGAGUGUAAAACAAAGAAGUAGUCCAAUUAUGUUGAAUUCAAUUAGUUAUAGAAGGGAAAGAGCAAGAAAAAGAAAUAUAUUUUUGCAAAGCUACAAAUUGGAAUCUUCAAAGAAUUUAAGGAACAAGAAAUUGAAGAAAAUUGUUUUAAAAGUGAAAUGUGCUAUGAUUUCUAUUUUUUCUUUUAUGAGGGCUCAUAGUAUAAAAUCUUGUACUAAUUCUAAUUCUGGUAUUGAUGCUGUUUCUCCAGCUAGAGUCAUAAAAUGUUGUUGAUUUUUAUAUAUAUUUUUUUAUAAUUGUUUUGGAUUAGCAAAUAUUCAUAUGUACUAGAACAUUUAUUUGGGUCAAGAUGUAUUAUAUGUGAAUGAUGAAAGAAAAUUUUAAGGCAAACAAACAUCCAAUGUUGUUCAUCUCGAGAAUUUUAAUAGUUCAGUUAAUUAAUUGAUUAUUUAAACUUUCAUCUUGUCGGUGAGAAUUUGAUUUCCGACCCUUAUUUUCUUUUUAAAAAAAAAAGUUCAUUUAAUACGUGUUUCAUAGUUGUGGUUCUACUAGAUAGGGAAGAAAAAAGAGAGAGAAGUUUGAUCUCAUCUUUGACUCUAUUUUCCAUUUUCCAUUUUCCAUUUCCCCUUUCCUCAUCUCCUUUAAUUUUGGGGAAUUCAUAUCAUGACGGUUUAAAGAGGUGGAUUCAGAAUCUAAACGAUAUAAAUUUUCAGAUUAAUUGUGACAUUCCUGACAAAGAAUAGACUAAUAAAAUAUUGAUUAUAAAUACUUGUGUAUUUAUUAUUGUCACUUAUAAAAUAUAAAAAUAUAGCAAAAAUCAUAUUAAUCACUACUAAAUAACCGCCAUAAAAUCCUUUAUUUAUUGUGAUGAAAGCUAAUGGAAACAAUUAAUAACAUGUUAUGUGUAAUUCUAUAAAUAGAAUUGUUUGAUGAAGAGAAUAUAAUAUAAAUAUACACAAAUCUUAUCCUUAUUUUUAGAUUAAAAAGUUAUUUUCCAUAAAUUCUCGAUUCGAAAAGUAAUAAAAGGGAAUCAAUCAAAUUGUGUUGGAGCAUAUAAUUAAGGAAUAAUUAUGAUUACUAUCUUAUAGUUAUCUGCAAAAGAACCAAUUAAGUAUAAAGGUGAAGAGAAUAUGACCUUUUAGUGCCACUGGUUACCAUCAUUAUGCCUAGCUUUCUUAUCUCACUUUCCCACAAUAUUCAGUUCGUUAUCAGUUGCCUACCUGCAAAAUAAUGUGAUAUAAUCCGCUUUGAGUUAUAUUUAUGUUUUUUCUUUAAAAAAAAUACUCUUUUUACUGAUCGAAACAUCAUAAAAUAAGUAAGAAAUUAUUAUUUUUCAGAAAAAUAUUUAAACGAUACUAAAAAUAAAAAUGUAAAGGCACGCUAUUCAUUUUUUAUUUUAAUUAUAAAUUUUGGCCUUUUUAAAUGGUGAUGAACUGUUCCUUUGACUCCAACAGGACCACCCAAAUAGGCAAGAAAUCAGAGCGUGCACUUAACUAGGACAUGAGCAAAUGAUAAUGCUAUGAUCAUGCCGAUGCAUUAUAUAUUUAGAGUCGGUUUGAGUUAGCUGAUUAAGAUAUCUAAAUCUAAACGUAUGAUUAAAAUGUUGUUUUUAAAUCUUAAUGUUGAUAUUCAUAUUAUCCCACUUUGUUGAAUUUGUUUUUCAAUUUCUGAUAUAUAUAUAUAUAUAUUGGUUCAAAUUAUUAGUCGUUUUCUAAAGGCAUAAUACAUAAACAUGACUCUUAACUUGGAUUCAGCAGACAACUAUGCCCUUCAACUUGGAGUGUGCACACGUAGACACUUAAACUUGUAUAAAAUAGAACAAGUAGACACACGUGUCCUAUUGACAUAAUACACGUAAGACCCCACAUACGCAGGGGCGGACACAAGUGUUGUUCAGGGGGUUCACCAGAACCCCCUCGAUAAAAAAUUACACUGUAUAUAUAAGGUGAAUUUUCUGGAUUUAUGUGGAUAUAUAUAUUUUGAACCCCCUCAAUAAUAAGGUGAAGGAGAUAGCACAGUGGCAACUCCCUUCAAUAUUAAGCCUGACGUCCAGGGAUUGAAUCCCUGGGUUAGCGUUUUUUUUUAGUUUUUACUUUCAGUUUUUUUUUUAGUUCCAGUUCCGAUUUUCAUGUUUGUUUAGUUUUUUUUUUAAUAAAAAAGUGCUAAAAAUGUGGUGUUAAAACCCCAAAAAAAUUCAAGGGUCCAUACUCCCAUUCCUAAAAGCUAAUAACUUUUUCACUUUCCAAAUCUCUAAAUAAUUUUCUUGUUCUUCCCCAAUACUCAAAACUCAAAUAUUAAAAUCAUCUCCCAUAAUAUUCUAUUGUUGAUUUGACAUAUUUUAAAGGGCUGACUUUUUGUUUCACUGUAAUCACUUAUGUUAGUUUCGGAUUUCUUGUAACGAAAUUUAACUUUUUGUACCUAUAAACUAUAUACUACUACUUCCUUGAAAUUAUUUUUUGUUGGCUUAUUUACUACACGUUUAUACUUUUAUUUUUCGAACCCCCUGAACGAAAAUUCUGGGUCCACCACUGCACAUACGACACAAAAUUGUCAUGUAGAGUGUCAUGUAGGACGAAUAUGUCCAUUUGUUCAGUUUUAUACAAGUUUAAGUGUCUAUUUGUGCACAUCAAAGUUAAAGGUCAUAAUUGUCACUUGACGCCAAAUUAAGGAUGUUUAUGUAUUAUGCCUUUUCUAAACUUAAAUUAUCAAAUUAUUAUUCUUUUGUCUUAGCCAAAUGCGAAUCACUAUCUUAAAAAAAUUAUCAAAUUAUUAUUCUUUGGAUUGUUUCAAAAUAUUAGUCGUUUUCUAAACUUGAGAUUGCUUUAAAAUAUUUCAUUUUUUAGAAAAUAAAAAAAUUAUUAUUACUUCUUUUUAUCCAAAUUAACUCUUAUUAUUUUUAAUUACUAAAAAUAUGAUAUUUUAGGCAAAAUAGAUCAUAACUUAGACAAGUACUCAUAUAGUACCUUUUUUUAAAAAUUCGUGGUGUCAAUAAGUAUCAAAUAAUUCGAUUCACCAUAGUUAGGACUUGGGACAAAUUAAAAAUAACCUAAUAUUUUUAUCUCGAAAUUAAAGCUUAACAAACACAUAUUUUAUUUAUUAUUAUUAUUAUUAUUAUUUUGGAUAAGUGGAAUGAGUUGCGGGGAUUAACGAACGUGAUAAAAAUUAAUGGCAUAAUGGUUAUGACUUGUGAGCAUAGUGGAGUAGCAGUUAAAAAAGCUGCUUCUAAUAUUUUUCGUUAAUUUCUCUUUUUACCUUUUUUUCCUU
rnacentral:lncRNA from 1 species